rnacentral:rRNA from 1 species
UGGGGAAUUUUGGACAAUGGGCGCAAGCCUGAUCCAGCAAUGCCGCGUGAGUGAAGAAGGCCUUCGGGUUGUAAAGCUCUUUUGUCAGGGAAGAAACGGCCUUGGUUAAUACCUGGGGCUAAUGACGGUACCUGAAGAAUAAGCACCGGCUAACUACGUGCCAGCAGCCGCGGUAAUACGUAGGGUGCGAGCGUUAAUCGGAAUUACUGGGCGUAAAGCGUGCGCAGGCGGUUUUGUAAGUCUGACGUGAAAUCCCCGGGCUUAACCUGGGAAUUGCGUUGGAGACUGCAAGGCUGGAGUCUGGCAGAGGGGGGUAGAAUUCCACGUGUAGCAGUGAAAUGCGUAGAGAUGUGGAGGAACACCGAUGGCGAAGGCAGCCCCCUGGGUCAAGACUGACGCUCAUGCACGAAAGCGUGGGGAGCAAACAG